rnacentral:rRNA from 1 species
GACGCACGCUGGCGGCGUGCUUAACACAUGCCAGUCGAACGAUGCCCCUCCUUCGGGAGGGUGUCCUAGUGGCGAACGGGUGAGUAACACGUGGGCAACCUGCCCCCGGCUCUGGGAUAACUCCAAGAAAUUGGGGCUAAUACCGGAUAUGACUGCUGACCGCAUGGUCGGUGGUGGAAAGUUUUUCGGCUGGGGAUGGGCCCGCGGCCUAUCAGCUUGUUGGUGGGGUAGUGGCCUACCACGGCGACGACGGGUAGCCGGCCUGAGAGGGUGACCGGCCACACUGGGACUGAGACACGGCCCAGACUCCUACGGGAGGCAGCAGUGGGGAAUAUUGCGCAAUGGGCGGAAGCCUGACGCAGCGACGCCGCGUGGGGGAUGACGGCCUUCGGGUUGUAAACCUCUUUCAGCAGGGACGAAGCGAAAGUGACGGUACCUGCAGAAGAAGCACCGGCCAACUACGUGCCAGCCGCCGCAGUAAUAC